UUACAGUCACAGUGCACUUUUAUGGG
rnacentral:piRNA from 1 species